CCCUGCCGUCCCCUCACACACUGUGCCGUUUGGCAGCAAGGCGCACGUGAGGCUGAUGAGAAGACACCCAGGGCUGGAUCCCAGCAAACCCCCAGCAGCGGCGGCGCCACGCCCUGGGUUCUACGGUACCCACCAGAGUUGUGUCUGCAAAGGUAAAAGCCACUGCUACUGUGAUGGAAUGAAAGGUAAUAAGGGUGAAAAAGGAUUUUCUGGUGCUCAAGGUGUACCUGGCCAGACAGGUUUCUGUGGCCCUGAGGGACCUCCAGGGCCACAGGGACCCACGGGUUUUCCAGGGCAGAUAGGUUUAGUCGGACCCAAAGGUGAAAGGGGAAUGCUAGGAUUACCUGGUUUUUCAGGUCUCCCAGGUCUUCCAGGUGAACCAGGAAACAUUGGUCCUCCUGGAGGUCCAGGAAUUCCAGGAUGCAAUGGCCCAAAGGGUGAACAAGGAUUUCCAGGGCCUCCAGGGCCAGGAGGUGCUCCAGGCAAACCAGGUAUUGAUGGCCUCAAAGGAGAUAAGGGGUGCCCUGCAAGUGGAUAUGACCCGGGAUAUGAUGGAAGAGGUGACCCUGGAUUACCAGGAAUACGUGGACGCCAGGGUGAACCAGGUCCUCGAGGACUCCAAGGGCUAGUUGGACCACAAGGCCCUCUGGGAUCUUCAGGUGUUUCAGGGAGAAUGGGACUUCCAGGACGUAAGGGUGUCAUGGGGAUUAAGAUCAUAGGAACCAAAGGAAUACAGGGUGAUCCUGGAUCAGCAGGACCCCCUGGGCUCCCAGGAACAGUUAUUGUGACAUUAAGCGGACCAGAUAAUAUGAAGGGCUUGAAAGGAGAUAAAGGAGAGAAAGGAUCAAGGGGUCUCCCAGGACCAGUUGGGUCAUUGGGUUUUCCUGGAGAUUUUCAAAGUGAAAAAGGUGACCCAGGAGAGCCUGGCCCGCAGGGUAAACCUGGAAAAGAUGGUACCCCCGGUCCACAUGGCUUUCUGGGAGAGAAGGGUGAACGCGGCUACCCAGGAUCACCUGGCGUAGCAGGCACUAAGGGGAGGAAAGGAGACAUUGGCCCACCAGGAUUUCCUGGUCCCACAAAGUAUUAUGAUGAGGUGGCUGGUGAAAAAGGAGAUGAAGGAUAUCCAGGACCCCCAGGACUUAAAGGUCAACCUGGCAUACCUGGGCCAAGAGGUCCCCUAGGUGUGACAGGAAGACCAGGUGUAUCGAGACCUGGCAUAAAUGGUCCACAAGGAUAUCCAGGACUGAAAGGAAAUAAGGGAGAGAAAGGACAGCCUGGCAUGAAUGCUGUGGGAUCUCCAGGACUUCAUGGGUUUCCAGGCAGACCUGGUUCUGUAGGAUCACCAGGUCCUGCAGGACAGCCAGGUAAAGUAACGUUUGAAACGCACCCACCAGGAGUUCCAGGAAACCCCGGAUGUGUGGGACCUCCAGGACUUCCAGGAGACAGUGGAGUGAAAGGUGAAGAAGCAAGUCCUUGUAAUCAAUGCAGUUAUAUACCAGGAGGACCUGGACUUCCUGGUGCUCCUGGGCAAGAUGGUCAAGAAGGAGUUACUGGUAGACAAGGAAUAAGUGGUCCCAAAGGAUCUCGAGGUUCUCCAGGGGCACAAGGGCCUUCAGGUCCUCAAGGACUUCCAGGUUUUCCAGGAGAUCAAGGACUGAAAGGGCCAAACGGUGAACCAGGAUAUGUGUAUCCAGAAGGGCAAAAAGGAAACAGAGGAGAUCCAGGGAUCAGAGGAAAUCCAGGGAGGAAAGGUUCAGAUGGAUUGCACAAAAAACAUGGUUCAAAAGGCUCAAAAGGUCCUAAAGGCGAAAGGGGACUGGAUGGUUCGAAAGGGGACAGAGGGUUAUCAGGAUUGCCUGGUAACCCAGGUCUUCCUGGAGAAAUGGGGCUCACUGGACCACCAGGAUAUGGACCACAAGGAAUGACAGGUCCCAAAGGCGCUAAGGGAAUGUCUGGAUUGCCUGGAUUGCCUGGAGCAAUUGGUCCGAAAGGAGAACUUGGUACAGUAAAUCCAAUACCUGGACCACCAGGACCUCGGGGGCCAGAGGGUUUACCAGGACCCCCAGGAGCAAUGGGUAAUGUUGGAUCUAGAGGACAACACGGUGAUUUGGGAUUACCUGGGUCUGAUGGUGCUCCAGGAUUUUCAGGGACUGGAUUUCCUGGAGAUCCUGGUCCAAAAGGGGAUAAAGGUCUUCGAGGGUCUAAAGGAUUACCAGGUUUGCCAGGAAAGGCAGGAGAACCAGGCUCGCCUGGACAGCCUGGAUACCCAGGAGAAAAGGGAGACCCUGGAUUAAUUAUUCCUGGCCAACAGGGUGGAUUAGGUUCCCCAGGACAAGGCGGCUUUCCAGGGGUAAAAGGUGACAGAGGAAUUCCAGGUCUACCAGGAUUCCCAGGACAUAAUGGUGCUGAUGGGCCAAGAGGAGAACCUGGCUGUCCCGGAGCUCCCGGAGAAAAGGGACUUCCAGGGAAGCUUGGUGAUUGUCUUAUUGGUCCACCAGGUCUCCCAGGUGCACAUGGUUUAACAGGUCAACAAGGAGAAAGAGGUGUACUAGGAUCAAAAGGAGACCCCAGUAUUCCAGGCUUGGGUGUCCCAGGAUUCCCUGGACAAUUUGGGCUGCCUGGAUUGCCAGGUCACCAAGGAGACACAGGAUCACCUGGUCUCAAGGGUCAGCCUGGCAGACCAGGAAUACCAGGUGCACCAGGCCAAAGAGGAGAACGAGGUAUAAUGGGCAAUUUAGGAAUUCCUGGACCUCCUGGUGUCUUUGGACACCCAGGCAUUCCAGGAAACAGAGGUUCUCCUGGCCUUCCAGGACUGAAGGGAAGAAAAGGGUUUUUAGGGGCAAAGGGUGAACCAGGUGAUAAAGGAUUUCCUGGACCAUCAGAGACCAGAGGGAAUCCUGGGGAUAAAGGAGAACCAGGAUCAAAAGGAUUUCCAGGAAGAAUAGGUCUGAAAGGAGAAAGAGGAGAUAAAGGUAUACAAGGAUCAGCAGGGCUUGAUGGGACAUCAGGAGUAUCAGGUCUGCCAGGUCCCAAAGGAUUUGUAGGUCUACAAGGAAUUCCUGGAAGACAAGGAUUACCAGGACCUCCAGGAGACAGAGGUGAUAUGGGAGUGCCAGGUUCUAAAGGGGAGAGAGGAUCUCAAGGUUUACCAGGACCAUCCGGUGCACAAGGCCCUCCAGGCCUUCUUGGUUUUCCAGGUGAUAAAGGAGAACCAGCUAGUUCAGCAUCUGGGCCUCCAGGAAAACCAGGACCAAAGGGUGAUCCAGGUCCCCCAGGAGAAAUGGGAAGAAAAGGGGAAAGAGGAUCACCAGGUCAGCCAGGACUUGUAGGAGAACCUGGACUACCUGGAAACAGGGGGGAUUGUGGAAAACCAGGAGCUCCAGGGCCAUCUAAAUGUGCCGGAGAUACUGGCGCUAAAGGGUGCAAGGGGGUGGCAGGACCGAGAGGCACUGAAGGCCCUCCAGGUGCAAUAGGAGCUCCUGGAGCCAACGGAGCUGUUGGGGAAAGGGGGAAUCAAGGACGGGAUGGUAUUCCUGGCUCCCCAGGGGAAAAGGGAGAACGAGGUGCACCAGGAUGGCAGAUUAAAGGUCCGCAAGGUAUUUCUGGUCCUAAAGGAAUCAAAGGUGAUGUGGGGAUUCCUGGUUGUCCAGGACCAGAAGGUAUUAAAGGUCUAAUGGGGGAUCCAGGACCAAUUGGACCUCCUGGAUUGAAUGGAAAGCCAGGAUUCCCAGGUGCACCAGGCAUAAUGAUUCCUGGCCAGAAAGGAAAUAGAGGUCUUGCCGGAGUGGAUGGACGACUGGGUAUUCCUGGUAGACCAGGAUCUUCUGGAACCCCUGUGUACAGCAUAAAAGGAAACAAAGGUGUUAGAGGUAUAGAUGGCAUACCAGGACCACCAGGAUUGGUAGGCAAUAUUGGUCCUCCAGGUUUAACAGGAGUUGAAGGCACCCCAGGCAAUUCAGGCCCUAGAGGUGAACCUGGCUUUCCAGGACUUCCAGGUGUAACCGGAGAAAAGGGUAAUCGAGGACCCCCUGGACCAAUGGGUGCAGCAGGAUCUAUCGGACCAAAGGGCCCCCCUGGUCAGCCUGGAGCACCUAGGAAAGCAACAUAUAUCCCAGGAAACCAAGGACCUGCUGGAUCACCUGGAAGCCCAGGACUACCAGGAGAUCCAGGACCUCGAGGGCCACCAGGAUUACAUGGACGUCAAGGUGUAAAAGGCCUACCAGGCCAUUGUGGAAAUCCAGGCAUAGUUGGACCAGUUGGUCCAAAAGGAGACAAAGGAUUUCAAGGACAAAGAGGAUCUCCUGGGCUUAUUGGCUUUCCAGGAGUACGGGGCCUACCUGGUUCCCCGGGUAUUUCAAUACCUGGUCCAACAAGAAGAGGCUUCAUCUUUACCCGGCACAGCCAGUCAACAAAGAUUCCUUCAUGCCCAUCUGGGACAGCUCAGAUCUACAGUGGUUAUUCUCUUCUCUUUGUACAAGGAAAUGAGCAAGCACAUGGCCAAGACCUUGGGACAGUUGGUAGCUGCCUGCAGCGAUUUACCACCAUGCCAUUUUUAUUCUGUAACACCAAUGACGUUUGCAGUUUUGCUUCUCGCAAUGACUAUUCAUACUGGCUGUCAACUGCAGCACCAAUGCCAGAAGACAUGGCACCAAUCUCUGGCAGAGCCUUACAGCCCUAUAUUAGCAGAUGUAUUGUUUGUGAAGGACCAGCAGUGGUAAUAGCAGUUCACAGCCAAACAACUGCAAUUCCUUUAUGUCCUCAAGGCUGGAUAUCUCUCUGGAAGGGUUUUUCCUUUGUUAUGUUUUGUGGUUACAGUACACAAGUGCCGGUUCAGAAGCCUCUGGCCAAGCAUUGGCAUCACCUGGAUCCUGCUUGGAAGAAUUCCGUGCCAUUCCAUUCAUAGAAUGUCAUGGUAGAGGGACAUGCAACUACUACACAAAUUCCUACAGCUUCUGGCUGGCUUCACUAGAUCCAAGAAGAAUGUUCAGGAAGCCUUUACCACAGAUUUUAAAAGCAGGGGAAUUGGAAAACGUCAUCAGCCGCUGUCAGGUCUGCAUGAAGAGAGACAGAAAUUCUUGACAGAGCAUCAAACUUUGCUUUUAUUGCAAAGAAUAGCCUAACUCUCCAGAAUGUGCAUUUAUUAAAGCCAAACUGUUUCUGGACAAUGAGCUCUAAAAUGCUAGUGCAGCAUUUUGAUUUUCUUUUUUCUAAACAAAUUGCAAAGCACUUUUUUGGAGAAGGCUGUUGUAAUGGCAGUACUACAGAUCUUCAUCUUCUGAACUGUGAGGCAAGGUGGAUGAUGUAAUCUUUUAUUGAACCAACUUCUCUGGGUGAGGAAAAAAAGCGUCUGGGAUUUAGGUGGACCGUAGAGUUAAGUCCGUGACUUAAGAGCUUCCAUGGCAUUCCUGAGUGAACGCAAACCUUCAGUUAUAAGUCUGUUUUUAAAAAUGCACUGCAAAAAGAAACACAAAAUCUACACCUUUUAUAAAGUAUUUGAAACAUUAAAUAUUUGUCAUGAACAUCUGCAGAAAUAAAACCUCCUAUUCCAUCUAGUCAGGUGAAAGUAUCUUAAAAUAAAAGAUUUGUUAUGAGUGAUAGUCAAAUGGUCAAAUAGUCAAAUCUGAGCACUGAUUUACACCAGUGAAUUCAACUGUAAAUGGAUUUAAAUACUUGAUAAGCACUUUCUAUAAAUUAAAUGACUAAAACUGUAGCUCUGAAUAUUUUGGUAUUUAUGAUAUUGUACAUGCAGCACUAUUUAAAAUUUUAAUGUUGACAUUUAAAAAGUUAAUAACUUUUAAUACUUGCACACAACUAUCAGAAUUCCAGUUCAAUUAUUUAAUUUUAUAGAUAAAGCAUAAUUAAUUUGACAAGUUUAAUAAAUGCCUCAUUUUAAAUGUAGGGUCUAGAAGUCAGCUGAAGGAUCUAGAAGUCAGUUGAAGUAAGAAAGAUUUCUCAUUGAGGCCUAUUUUUUGCAAGUAAAAUAUUUUAUAUUUAUUUAUUAAAAUAUUUCCAGUAUGUUUGUAUUAAUACUCCAAUUUUCUCUGUUAAUAUAACUAGAAACAGUUUCCCCCAUAUGUAACAUGCCAGGGUCAUCUGCUUAAGCUAAUUUAAACACAGCAUUUACAUUAAUUGAAUUAAUAUUAAAGAUUUUUAUUUCCUUAAAUAGAUUGCAGUAUCUCUGUUUGGGCAAAACACAAUUCAAAAUAUUACACUUUUUAUAAAAUACUCUCAGCAGAUGCAUGUUGCUGAUAAGAGGGCACUGUGAGGUGUAAAAGUCUUUCCUUCAAAUCUGCUUAUAUCUUCAGAUGUGACAAUCACAUGUCAUGUUUUUUUCCCUGAGUCCUAAAUUCUGCUGUAAAUACAGGAAAAUACCCACCAUUUCUUUUGAAAACUGUUCACUAUUAGGGUGAGGAUAAACUCAGCAUCAACAGAUGCACAUGAAGGCAUUAUAUCAGUUUCUGAGUCCCUCUGAGAGCAUACUUGUAAAAUCCAGACCUUAAGUCCAUCAGAGUUAAGACCACUGGAGAUGCACAGUAGGGUAUGAAAUAUAGUGUAACGUGUAUAUUACCUGGAUUAUUACAAAGUUUUAAACUCAGCAGUAAAAGAUGGCGAAUGUAGUCUAGCAGUUAGAGCAUGAGAUGAAGUCAGGUGAUCAGGGUUUUGUUUCCAGGUCUGGACUCUGCCACUCACUUACUGUGUGGCCCUGGACAAGUCACGUUGGCUAAAAUAUUUUGGGCAGCUUCAGACUUUUCAUAAGUGAUGAGCACUCGCAGCUCCCAUUAACUGCAACUGGAGAUGAAAGUGUUCAGCACCUCUGAAAAUCAAACCCAGCAGGUUUUAAAUUGGGCACAAUCAAAGGCCAUUUUUUGAAAAUGUUGGCCUUAAAAAUAUCUUUAUGCCUCACUUUCCUAUCACUCAGCAUUGUGAAUAUUAGCUAGCUAAUGUCUGUAAAGUGCUUUGAGAGCCUUGGGGAAAAGGUGCUAAAGAAGUGCAAAGUGUUAAUAUAUUGUAUUAAAAGAAUGCAAGUGGCACUAUGGGCAAUCAGAAAUAAUGAGCAAAUAAUCAAAAAGACGGGAAAAGAAAUCCUUUCACUAAACGCAACCAAAUAAGUAACUCUGACUGUAUAGGGAAAAGUUCAUUAAACUUAUUUCUUUCCCUCCUUGCCACUGUGUAUAUAUAAAAAUAUCCAAAUAUUUAAUAGCUUGUCUUCUGAUUAAAAACCAUAAAUGGGGCUAUAUCAUUCUGCCAGGUUUUGAGCAGAACUCCCUUUUUAACAUCACAACUUUCAGCUUGGACAACAAAAUAAAAAGGGUAAAUCACAGAAGGGUGACACCUAUGAUAUCUGAUAUUUCAAAUAAAUAUAGUGCUGGUUGCUUUUAGAACAGGGUGAAAUCCUGGCUCCAUUGAGGUCAAUGGAAGUUUUGUUAUUUCAUGCCAGACAUCUGGAAGGGAGAAUAAAGCAAUGCUCACAGUAAAAAGACAGAGAAGUCCUACAAAGCAGAGUCCUCUGAAACCAUUUCCACUACUGUACAUGCACAGUCUGCCUGCUAUGUAUCUCACCAAGAGAAACUUAAACAAGCCUUGCCUGCCAUCCACCUGUAUAAUCUAUUACAGUAAGAAUACUUCAAGCCCUGUCUGUCUCCGUGCCCUCAGGAAAUGCAACCAACCUAAUGUUUCUUAACGUGAGGCUGUUUUUUAUAGUUGGUUUGAUGUCUUGGUGCUUUACACUGUUGAUAGUUUCAUGUCAUUUAGUUUAUACCAAUUUAUGGAGGGGAGGGAUAGCUAAGUGGUUUGAGCAUUGGCCCACUAAACCCAGGGUUGUGAGUUCAAUCCUUAGGGGGGCCAUUUAGGGAUCUGGGGCAUAAAUUGGUCUUGCUGAAGACAGGGGACUGAACUUAACUCAAUGACCUUCCAAGGUCCCUUUCAGCUCUAUGAGAUAUAUAAGCCAAACCCUCACUGUAUCUAUUGGAUUUAUGCAGUCUUUCAUUUGAACCAUUCAUUGACCAUGGAAAUCACUGUAGCUAAAAUUGUUCCCAUCUCCCAGUUUCUUUUUAAAUAUUUCCCUGAAGGAUUUAUAAAAUUAGAUCAGUGACUCCCAGAGGUCAGUUACUUUCCCAGUCAGUGAAGAUUUGAGAAUAGCAGGUUACAGUUAUUCUGCGCAUUGGAGCGAUUGUGUCUUUUGACUAGGGUUACCAUACGUCCGGUUUUUCGGCAAUCAAACCCCCGUCUGGGGGGAAUUGCCAAAAAGCCGAACAUGUCCGGGAAAAUGCCAGCCGGGCACUUCCCCUCUCGCGGCGGCUCUGCUC